UGGAGAGUUUGAUCCUGGCUCAGGACGAACGCUGGCGGCGUGCCUAAUACAUGCAAGUAGGACGCACAGUUUAUACCGUAGCUUGCUACACCAUAGACUGUGAGUUGCGAACGGGUGAGUAACGCGUAGGUAACCURCCUAUUAGAGGGGGAUAACUAUUGGAAACGAUAGCUAAUACCGCAUAACAGUAUGUAACACAUGUUAGAUGCUUGAAAGAUGCAAUUGCAUCGCUAGUAGAUGGACCUGCGUUGUAUUAGCUAGUAGGUAGGGUAAUGGCCUACCUAGGCRACGAUACAUAGCCGACCUGAGAGGGUGAUCGGCCACACUGGGACUGAGACACGGCCCAGACUCCUACGGGAGGCAGCAGUAGGGAAUCUUCGGCAAUGGGGGGAACCCUGACCGAGCAACGCCGCGUGAGUGAAGAAGGUUUUCGGAUCGUAAAGCUCUGUUGUUAAGGAAGAACGAGUGUGAGAAUGGAAAGUUCAUACUGUGACGGUACUUAACCAGAAAGGGACGGCUAACUACGUGCCAGCAGCCGCGGUA
rnacentral:rRNA from 1 species